GAGAGAAUAGAUUUUUUACUUAUUUGUGUUCUAAGCCCCGGCUCCCUCUCGCCAUCAUUCCUUCCUUAAAUUCUAAUUACGAAAUCCCUCUUUUGCUUUGUCUUCCUCUUCUGCAUCGAUUUCAACGUUUUUUCAUCUCCCUUUAAUAAUCAUUCCUGUAUAAAACCCCUCACCCUUUUAAUCAAAGAGCAUAUCUUAGAGAUGCUUACAAUAGAAUGUAGCAUUUCUCAAAGUGUAUGAAGAAAGAUUUGAACCCUGAGAAAUGCCUUGAUAAAAGCUGAAAAAUAUUUCGCUGUGUCUUCAGCCAUUUGAGCGGCUGGAUAAUUUGACCAAAUU
rnacentral:misc_RNA from 1 species